rnacentral:rRNA from 1 species
UACGUAGGGUGCAAGCGUUAAUCGGAAUUACUGGGCGUAAAGCGUGCGCAGGCGGUUUUGUAAGUCUGUCGUGAAAGCCCCGGGCUUAACCUGGGAAUUGCGAUGGAGACUGCAAGGCUUGAAUCUGGCAGAGGGGGGUAGAAUUCCACGUGUAGCAGUGAAAUGCGUAGAGAUGCGGCGGAACACCGAUGGCGAAGGCAGCCCCCUGGGCUGAGAUUGACGCUCAGGCACGAAAGCGUGGGGAGCAAACAGG